rnacentral:lncRNA from 1 species
AGCACAAUUACUUUUGCACCAACCUAAUAGAAAGCUUUGACCUAGAGGAAGGUACUUUAGGAGACUGCCAAUCAUCAGCAUGCUUUCUGUUUCCUUUUCUCUGCUUAUCUAUGUAAGGUUUUAUUCAAAGUGGGUACUCCUGGUUUAUGGUGGGAAUAUGAGUAGGGUUGUGGAGAAAAAGGAUACAGAGGCUUCUAACCCCACGAGUAAGUCUGCUGCCAGUGGUAGCCAUACAGUGAGAAUACGAUACAAUUAGAGUCCAUCAGCAGAGUGCUUUAUUAGUCCCUGCCUUGGCUGGGUCACGUGUAAGAUGAUCAACUUCUUGCUGCUUUUUUCUUUAAAAAAGUUAAUCUGAACUUGGCAACUAUGUUUUUGUUCGUGGAAACCUGGUUAUCCAGCCCGUUGGCACAGCUGGUUUGGGUUUUGAUUCCCAGAACUCAGUCUACAGGCCUUUCCAGCCUCUCUCCAGCAUAGAUUGCAGCGCUCUGCAAGGUGCAAGUCCUGAAAACACAUCAUUUGGAUUUCCUCUCUCUGGUUAACUGUCACAGCCAGCUGCUCUCAAUCCCUGGAUUCAUUUCCUCUUGAAUUCUGUGUAAUGUUCUCCUUAAUCAUUCAAUGUAAAAAGAAGAAAAACUUUUUCCUGGUCUUUUUUUUUUUUUUAAAUGGGAGAGGCUUUACUGAUUUUCUUUUCAAUUUGACCAAUAAUUCCCUUAUGCCCACGGAUACUCCUUAACAGUUGUUCUCUUGCUGUUGUCAUUUUAUAUUAAUGUUCAGAGAAUACUUAAUGGAAUCUUCCUUCAAUAACUACUCAUAUUGGCUCUUAUUUGGUUUGCAAUUUUGAAACCAAAGAUCUAUGGAUUUUAAACCAUACACUCCUCAGGCAAGAGGUUAUUAAACAAUCAUUGGUGACUGUAUUUAAUGUUAAACUUAUAAUUCAGAAAGAGGUAGACUGGGUGAAUUGAAAAAUACCUCAGAGACUCAGAAUUAGGUUUCCAAAAAGCAAUCAUCUGCACUUUUUUUUCAAAUGAAAAUAGUAUCAUAUCAGGAUUAAUUCAAGUUAAUAGCUAAGAAAAUAUCAAUCUAGGUACUGUACAUAGCUUCAAUGCCCAGUUUCAUUUUGCUACAAGAAACUAUAUAUUUUAUUGGACACGCACACAAAAAGCUUGUCAUAUUACUCAUCACCCCUAGAAGCAGUUCAUAGAGCAGCAAAGUAAUGUUGCUAACAAGAAGCAGUUUUCUGUAGUAGACAGCAAUUCUUAUCCUGUCAUGGAUUUAUCUUAUUAUUGACAGCAAAUUUGGCUGGCAUUUACCAGAAUUGAUGCUUUACCCAGCCCCAUACCAGAGCUGGAACAUAAAAUAGGCUUAUACCACACUUAAUGUCACUCACGUAUUUCCUCUGUUCAAAGUCACAUCCCUUUUCUGAUCUGAAUGAUGAAGGAGGACGUUUAAAACAUAGACAUCUCUAUGCUUUAUUAUAGAGUAGUUUGUAAGUACUGUUUACAGUGCCAACACAUGAGGAGGCAGCAGCAACUACUUUAAUAUGAUUAAAGGUAGCAGUAUUUGCUACAACAAAUGAGUUCUAACAUUGGCCACCAGAGUUGUUUUUUUUUUUUCUUGGUGUCUGGCUUACUUUCUACUUAAUUUGUUCAGGAAAACACCAGGUCAAUUUGUAUUAUAAGAAUUUGCCUAGCUCACAAAUGAUCCCAUAAGGAGUGGGCAUUCUAUUUUUUCUAGUUCUGAUGUUUCUGUAAUCUUUUUAAGACAUGUUGUAUCAUAAAGCUUAAUGUGCAUCUCAUUUCUUUAAAGUCGCUUGAGGGAUGAGCUAUCAAUGAGAAUCUGGAGAUGUAUAUAGAAGCAGUAACCAUUAAAGGUUGUGUGAGUAACUGGGCUCAGGGUAUGCAAAUAGGCAAGGAGUGGGAUGCGCCCCUCAGUGAGCAAGUUCGUGGUUGUCUGAAGCUACUGCGACGGGGAGCCUCUUGGGGUCAGUGGAGAGGCUGAUGAAGCAGAGACAACUCCAGAAAAGAUGAUGCCUGCCACUGAGGCCAUCGGGAUGAUGGUGGGAGGAGGAACAGAGUCCACCUUACAAAAGAGGAGGAAGAAAUAGGGCCUCUUGAAAGGAAAAGUCUUUCUAGCUGGCCAUUGACUGUGACUUGGAAAAAGGCACAGGACCAAGAAAAGUAGAAGAAAAAUUUGAAGAGUACAAAAAAGAAUGUGUGACAGUUUGCUUUAAGUAUGUUUCAUGGAAAUAGCACAUCGCUGGAUCUAACGGCAAUAAGAAGUCUGCAGGGUGUAUAAUGGGAUUUUUUUUGAGUCUCCCAGAUUUAAAUCUAAAUCUUGGCUCCACCACUUACUGGCCAUGUGACCUCACGCAAAUAAAUGAUUACUUCUCCAAAACUCAGUUUCCUUAUUUGUGAAAUGCGACAAUAAUAGCAUCAUAUUAAUUGGAA